rnacentral:misc_RNA from 1 species
AACGCAUAUUGCACUCGAGCCACGGCGAGAGUAUGUCUGUCUCAGCGUCAGCACACCCCAUCGCCUUCUCCUCUUUCGAAAAGAGGAAAGGCGGAAGUGGCCGUCUCUGUGUCGAAGGACACCGGGUCGGCUGAAGCACAGGGCCCCCUGCGCGUCCCCUUUUCGAUUGAAAAGGCGCCAGCUUGGUAGGUGGCUCUCCGCAGCCGCAUGCCGCUGUCGCCUCUCUCGAAUGAGGACGCCGGCCUCAACACACUCUACCAAUCAAAACUUGACCUGAGAUCAGACAAGACCACCCGCUGAACUUAA